UUUAAAGCAGAAUAUUUAACUUUUCUCACUUUCUCUCCAGAGAAACAAAUUGUCAUUCUCCUCUUAGAGAGGGGCAGUGGAGUGUGUCUGGGUCAGUUGAGUAUCUGUAUAGAAGCUCCCAGCCUUGAAAAGGACACCCUGUUCCCAGGCCUGAAGAUAUUGAAACAUUAAUUAGAUAAUUUAAAGUAGUGCUUUCUUCUACAAUGUCUGAAGAAGUGACCUACGCGACACUCACAUUUCAGGAUUCUGCUGGAGCAAGAAAUAACUGAGAUGGAAAUAACCUGAGAAAAAGAGGACAUCCAGCUCCAUCUCCCAUGUGGCGCUACACUGCCCUGGGUCUGCUAACUCCUUGCCUGAUGUUGCUGAUUGGGCUGGUGACAUUGGGGAUUAUGUUUUUGCAGAUAUCUAAUGAAAUUAACUCAGGUUCAGAGAUAUUGAGUUAACUUCAGAAAACCGUCGACCAGCAGCAGGAUAACUUAUUCCAGCAACUGGGCAACUCCAAUAACUUGUCCACGGAGGAGGAAUUUCUCAAGUCACAGAUCUCCAGGCUACUGAAUAGGCUGGAACAAAUGGCCAUCAAACUGUACCAAAAGCUAAUCGUUCAUAUGUCAGGUAAUCAGACUUAGACCUGCUAACCAGU
rnacentral:lncRNA from 1 species